ACCUUUAAUAACGCAAAAAACAAUAAAUGCAAAAUUUAGCAACGUAAAAUUUCAUCCAAUUGAGGACCCCAAGACUAAACUUGGAUUCAAGACGAAGAACAGAUAUUGGUGUCUUUGUUAAACUUGUAUUUUCCUUAUUAUUUCAAUACCAUUAUCUAUCUCAAUUACCAUGUGUCGGUCAAAAAAAAUUAAUACAACCUUCAAUAACGCAAAAAACAAUAAAUGCAAAAUUUAGCAACGUAAAAUUUCAUCCAAUUGAGGACACCAAGACUAAACUUGGAUUCAAGACGAAGAACAGAUAUUGGUGUCCUUGUUGAACUUGUAUUUUCCUUAUUAUUUCAAUACCAAAAACUAUCUCAAUUACCAUUUGCCGGUCUUAAGACUAAUGUUUCGAUUCAGAAUGAAGAAUAGGUAUUGGUGUCUUUGUUGAACUUGUAUUUUCCUUAUUAUUUCAAUACCAUUAUCUAUCUCAAUUACCAUGUGUCGGUCAAAAAAAAUUAAUACAACCUUCAGUAACGCAAAAAACAAUAAAUGCAAAAUUUAGCAACGUAAAAUUUCAUCCAAUUGAGGACCCCAAGACUAAACUUGGAUUCAAGACGAAGAACAGAUAUUGGUGUCUUUGUUGAACUUGUAUUUUCCUUAUUAUUUCAAUACCAUUAUCUGUCUCAAUUACCAUGUGUCGGUCAAAAAAAAUUAAUACAACCUUCAAUAACGCAAAAAACAAUAAAUGCAAAAUUUAGCAACGUAAAAUUUCAUCCAAUUGAGGACCCCAAGACUAAACUUGGAUUCAAGACGAAGAACAGAUAUUGGUGUCUUUGUUGAACUUGUAUUUUCCUUAUUAUUUCAAUACCAUUAUCUAUCUCAAUUACCAUGUGUCGGUCAAAAAAAUUAAUACAACCUUCAAUAACGCAAAAAACAAUAAAUGCAAAAUUUAGCAACGUAAAAUUUCAUCCAAUUGAGGACCCCAAGACUAAACUUGGAUUCAAGACGAAGAACAGAUAUUGGUGUCUUUGUUGAACUUGUAUUUUCCUUAUUAUUUCAAUACCAUUAUCUAUCUCAAUUACCAUGUGUCGGUCAAAAAAAAUUAAUACAACCUUCAAUAACGCAAAAAACAAUAAAUGCAAAAUUUAGCAACGUAAAAUUUCAUCCAAUUGAGGACCCCAAGACUAAACUUGGAUUCAAGACGAAGAACAGAUAUUGGUGUCCUUGUUGAACUUGUAUUUUCCUUAUUAUUUCAAUACCAAAAACUAUCUCAAUUACCAUUUGCCGGUCUUAAGACUAAUGUUUCGAUUCAGAAUGAAGAAUAGGUAUUGGUGUCUUUGUUGAACUUGUAUUUUCCUUAUUAUUUCAAUACCAAAAUCUAUCUCAAUUACCAUUUGCCGGUCUUAAGACUAAUGUUUCGAUUCAGAAUGAAGAAUAGGUAUUGGUGUCUUUGUUGAACUUGUAUUUUCCUUAUUAUUUCAAUACCAUUAUCUAUCUCAAUUACCAUGUGUCGGUCAAAAAAAAUUAAUACAACCUUCAAUAACGCAAAAAACAAUAAAUGCAAAAUUUAGCAACGUAAAAUUUCAUCCAAUUGAGGACCCCAAGACUAAACUUGGAUUCAAGACGAAGAACAGAUAUUGGUGUCCUUGUUGAACUUGUAUUUUCCUUAUUAUUUCAAUACCAUUAUCUAUCUCAAUUACCAUGUGUCGGUCAAAAAAAAUUAAUAACGCAAAAAACAAUAAAUGCAAAAUUUAGCAACGUAAAAUUUCAUCCAAUUGAGGACCCCAAGACUAAACUUGGAUUCAAGACGAAGAACAGAUAUUGGUGUCUUUGUUGAACUUGUAUUUUCCUUAUUAUUUCAAUACCAUUAUCUAUCUCAAUUACCAUGUGUCGGUCAAAAAAAAUUAAUACAACCUUCAGUAACGCAAAAAACAAUAAAUGCAAAAUUUAGCAACGUAAAAUUUCAUCCAAUUGAGGACCCCAAGACUAAACUUGGAUUCAAGACGAAGAACAGAUAUUGGUGUCUUUGUUGAACUUGUAUUUUCCUUAUUAUUUCAA